rnacentral:sRNA from 1 species
AGCCGCCUGCAUCUGUGUCCAGCGCCGGGUCCCGCCCGUCCCCGCUGCGCGCGCCCCCCAGUCCCGCACCCGUUCGGCCCAGGCUAAGGUAGCCCUCACCAUGCCGGUCAAAGGAGGCACCAAGUGCAUCAAAUACCUGCUGUUCGGAUUUAACUUCAUCUUCUGGCUUGCCGGGAUUGCUGUCCUUGCCAUUGGACUAUGGCUCCGAUUCGACUCUCAGACCAAGAGCAUCUUCGAGCAAGAAACUAAUAAUAAUAAUUCCAGCUUCUACACAGGAGUCUAUAUUCUGAUCGGAGCCGGCGCCCUCAUGAUGCUGGUGGGCUUCCUGGGCUGCUGUGGAGCUGUGCAGGAGUCCCAGUGCAUGCUGGGACUGGUGAGUCUCCCCUCAGUAUCCCCGCAGCCACCCUGACUCCCACCGCCAAAACCUCAGCAGGCCCAGACCCAGACCCACAGAACAGAUGGAGGGGGAUGGGGUCAAGAAGCUGUCCUCAGCCUGGGCCCCUCCCCGAUGUGAGGUGUCACCCCUCUUCCGUUCUGGAGCCUGUCUUAUCGCUUCCCCUAGGCAACUAAAAGGACUUUGUUUCCCCCUUUUCUUGAGGACCACGUUUGCUUUUUUUCCCUGAAUCCACAGGUACCUUUUGCCUUCUCCUUCUUGUUUCAAAAUCUGUUUUGGUCUUUUCCAAACUCCACGGAGUGGAUUCACUCCCUUUACUUUCCCAAAUCUCGUGUCUUUUGUGAACAAUAGUAGUUUCCUGCUCACUGACUCUUAACUAACGCCUUGUAAAUGCUAGUUCUGGGCUCAGCUGUGCUCAGCUCUUUCCUCAUGUCCGGGCACCUUGCCUCACUGUGGGCUCUGUCCUGGGCUUGGUUAACUGCCUGUUCUGUGAACUUCUUCCCUGCCCCUGCUAGGCUGUUCAUUUGUGUCACCAGAUGCCUGUUCCCAGGGAGUUGUCCUUCUUCCUUGUCCCAAAAUACCCUUCGAUUUUCCUGGCUGGUUGGCUGGGACUGUUCUCACCCCGUCCCCUUGUUGCCUUCCAGUUCUUCGGCUUCCUCUU